AUUGAACGCUGGCGGCAGGCCUAACACAUGCAAGUCGAACGAGUGGCGGACGGGUGAGUAAUGUCUGGGAAACUGCCUGAUGGAGGGGGAUAACUACUGGAAACGGUAGCUAAUACCGCAUACCAUCAGAUGUGCCCAGAUGGGCUUAGCUUGUGGGUGGGGUAAAGGCUCACCAAGGCGACGAUCCCUAGCUGGUCUGAGAGGAUGACCAGCCACACUGGAACUGAGAUACGGUCCAUAAUCCUACGGGAGGCAGCAGUGGGGAAUAUUGCACAAUGGGCGCAAGCCGGAGGCAGCCAUGCCGCGUGUGUGAAGAAGGCCUUCGGGUUGUAAAGUACUUUCAGCGGGGAGGCGUUACUCGCAGAAGAAGCACCGGCUAACUCCGUGCCAGCAGCCGCGGUAAUAC
rnacentral:rRNA from 1 species